UAGUGGAGUGAUCUGUCUGGUUGAUUCCGAUAACGAACGAGAUUUUAUCCUUCUUACUAGACUGCACCGUCUUAGGUGUAAUCUUCUUAGAGGAACUAUGGGGAAUAUCUACCGUAAGGAAGUUGGGUCAUAACA
rnacentral:rRNA from 1 species